UCAGCGGCUGGAGCGUCACUCCCAGCGCCCCCGCAGAUCUGCAUCGGUUCUAGCCCGGAUCUUAGUGGCAGGCAUGGGUUGGUCUCUGGGUUUGUUUCGCGCCUUGUGGAGAGCGCUGUCAAAGGAGGUGAAGGAACACGUGGGUACAGACCACCUCGGAAACAAGUACUACUUCAUCCCGGAGUACAAGAACUGGAGAGGACAAACUAUUCGAGAAAAAAGGAUUGUAGAAGCAGCAAAUAAAAAAGAAACAGACUAUGAAGUGGGAGAUAUCCCAACAGAAUGGGAAGCUUGGAUUAGACGAACAAGAAAGGUUCCACCUACAAUGGAGGAAAUAUUAAAGAAUGAGAAAUAUAGAGAAGAAAUGAAAAUUAAAAGUCAAGAUUUUUAUGAAAAAGAAAAACUCCUUAGUAAAGAGACCAUCAAGGAACAUUUGCCUCCACCUGUUCAAACUCACAUUAAAGGGCAUGCCUCUGCUCCAUACUUUGGAAAGGAAGAACCCUCAGAGGCACCCACCAGCACUGGUAAAACCUUUCAGCCAGGAUCUUGGAUGCCACAAGAUGGCAAGAGCCAAAAUCAAUGAAUUGCACUGAUGAAAUCAUUUAAUUUACAUGGAUAUAACAAUUUUAACAAAUAAAAGAUUCCAAAGGACUACAGGCUGGGGUUAUGGCUCAGCAGAAGAGCACUUGCCUGGCAUGUGCAAGGCCCUGGAUUCGAUCCUCAGCACCACAUAAAAAUAAAUAAAAUAAAGGUAUUGUGUCCAACUAAACUAACUAAACUAAAAAAUAUUUUUAAAAAAAUUCCAAAGGACUAAUCAAAAACAUGAACUUGGAUAAAAUGUGUAAAUGCAAAGAAAUUUAGCUUAUAAAAAGGAACCACCUUGCUGAGAAAAUGGGACAAAAACUACCUUAUGGUUAAACUGUGGCUGGAGUUUGGAGAGGAAUUAGGACCAACAGGAGACAAUCCAUCAUAGAAGUCUUAAAGGUGCCCCUUGCCACUUUCCUUUACAUGUAAUGACAAAGGAAUGAGGCACAGUUAGGAUGACUACAUUGUUAGAGGAUGUUUUUAGGGGAUGUUCUAUAUUUAAAAAUGAACUAUAAUCUUGUCCUGAUUAAGUUUUGCCUUUCCAAGCAACUUUUUUAAAAUACCUAGCUUUGGGCUGGGGUUUGUGGCUUAGUGGCAGAGUGCUUGCCUUAGCAGGUGUGAGGCACUGGGUUCAAUUCUCAGCACCACAUAUAAAUAAAUAAAUAAAUAGGUUCAUCAAUAACUAAAAAAUAUUUUUAAAAAAAUACCUACCUUUAAGGCCAAACACUUGCAAAGUAUAAUUGAAAUAUUAAAUAUUAGCUUGGCCACCAUAUUUCAUUUUUAAAAUAAUGACAUUUUGGCCAUUUACAAGUUUUUUAUAGUUUUUCAAAAGUAGUUUAAAAAUUUUAGUCUCAAAAUUAAAAAUGUUCCUAUUAGCAUAAUUAAAUAACAUUGUAGAUACUCUAGAUACUUUCUUAGAGCCAGUCCUUCCUGGCUUUCUAUGCCUAUGUUAUAUAUGCUAUACACAUAUUUUUAGUUUUUACAAUAUUGGGCUUAAUUAUUAUACAAACUUUGUGGUGCAAAAAAAAAAAAAAGUCUCUGGGGUUUAAAAUCUAGCCAAUUAGCUAUGCCUUAUGUAUUUUAAGUUAAAAACCAACAAAAUGACAGACAUGGUGGUACAUGCCUGUAAUCCCAGAAGGCUGAAAUAAGAGGAUCACAAGUUUGAGGCCAGCCUCAGCAACUUAGUGUAGCCCUGUCUCAUAAAAAAUAAAAAGGGCUGGGGAUGGGGCUCAGUGGUACAGUGCUCUGGGUUCUAUCCCUGGUACAAAAAGUAAUAAUAAAAAACAAAAAAGGGUAUAAAAACCAACAAAAAUGGAGGAAAUAAGUCUUCUCCAUUUUUCUAACAGAUUUCUUGCUAUUUCUUAAUUAACCCUGAAUCAAAACCACUAUAUUGGUUUUUUUAAUGCUACCUCUUUUAUUUAAAAGUGUAACCUGAAUGUAUUUAUAUUAGGUUUUUCCAAACUGUGUUAUGUUCUUUGGGGAAAAAAGUGGUACAAAGGAGAAUCCAUGGCAGUCAUAUUAGGUUAAAGACUCCAAGAAAUCAUGCAGAAAAGAAACUUGUCCAAGUUCUGCUUAUGUUUCCCAAACUUUAGGUAUCUGACCAUGGAAUCUUUUCCUAUGUUUGAGAAAUGGAGAAAUUGUCCUUAAAUAUAUUCUACUAAAUCAGUGAUUUCCUCUAACCAUAUGCAAACAUAAAAACAAUAAUUCCUAAACAAGAUCAAGUUUCCUCUCAUUUAUAACAUGUAAUGACAAAGGAAUGAGGCACAGUUAAUUAUUAUUUCAGUCCUGGGUUCCUGCCCAAAGCUUCCUAAGCUCAUUUUCAGUAGGUCCAUUCUUAAAGUUUCAAAAAUGCACUUACACAUCUGAUACAGCAGUAGUGGAUAUCAAGAGUCAAAUUCUGACACACAAUCUAUUUAUAUAUCUUUUAUUUUUUUUAGAUCUAGACAGAAACAAUAUCUUUGUUUUAUUUUUUUAUGUGGUGCCGAGGAUCGAAACCAGUGCCUCUUGCAUUCAAGGCAAGCACUCAACCACAGAGCUACAACCCCAGCCCUCUAUUUAUAUAUUUCUGAUAAAAUAUUAGAGGCAAUCUGGGGAUAGUUUCCAAAAUAGGGAUGGAUAUGUGGCUCGGUGGCCAAGUGUCCCUGAGUUCAGUCCUCAAUUUAGAAAAGCCAUGUUUAAUAGUCAACAAAACGAAACUAAAAAGUUGUAUUUUGAAUAAAUGGGAUUUUUAAAAAAAUAAUGUUUAUUAAGGUGAGAGAAGACGGAAUUUUUUUUUUAGAAUCCCAAACUUCACAAUAUUCUCUGCUUUAUGCCUCCUCCCCAAACAUACAUAAAUAUUAUAAAACCUUGUUGAAGGACUGGGGUAGUGGCUUAGAGGUAGAGCGCUUACCUAGCAUGUGUGAGCCACUGGGUUCAAUCCUCAGCACCACAUAAAGAUAAAAUAAAGAUAUUGUGUCCACCUACAACUAAAAAAUAUAUAUUUAAAGAAAAAAAAAAACUUGAACUCACCAUAAAAAAGGCUCUAUAAAUGUUGAGAAAAGCUGAAGAAAAAACAAAUAGCUUAUGGCAAAAAAAAUAUAAAAAAUUAAUGUUACAACUUUAACAAAUCACAGAAAAAUACUUUUAAAUUGUUACAACAGAACCAGUGAAACCACAGCUUUAGUAAGAGAAGUAAGAAUUAUAAGGACCACAUUCUUUGCUUCAAUGCUUUUAUUACUCUAAAAUAUUCCAUAAGCAAAAUAUGUAUAUAAAUUCUUUCCAUGAACAGCUUAACUACAGACACCCUAACAUUUUGGAUUUACCUUAACCUAGUUUUUCUUAAAAUGGGCUCUGCAGACUCAUGAAGACCAGGAGUUCUGUAUAAGCAAGUUUUAAUUUUAAAGAUAAUAUAUAAAGCAUAUCCUAGAUCACCUGAACAACCAGCUUAUAAUUAAACAUUGAAUUAUUUCAAUGUCUGGCGUUAUAACGUGUCUAUUAUACUAGCUUCAAGUAGGUACUGGUAACCUAAAAAUAACAUUAAGUGUUAUUCAAACUGGUCCAUACCAUUCUCAAAAAUCCUUAGGUUCUCAAAUUUAAGAAACACUGUCCUAAGCUUUUAUAAAUACAUUUAGGUACAAGGGAAAUUCAUAACCCUUUGAAAGUCUAACUUACAUAUCUUAUUAUUCUCUCCCAAAAAAAGACAAAAACCCAGGACCUCUUAUAAAAGUAUCAAAUUUAUUUCAUUAUCUGGUUUCAUUUUAAAAUGAGAGCUGUUGGACAAUUACUUAAUAUUCAUUCUCAGAGGUGCAGAAACAUUAAUAAGCUAUUAAAUACAAUGAAUAAAAUUACUGGACCAUGCAUUUAGAAAAGCCAUGUUUAAUAGUCAAAGUUCCAGUUAUACUACUUAAGGAGAGAUCCUUUAGCUCUGUACUUUGAAUUAUAUGAUUCUCAUUUUGAAUACAAUUUUAUUCUAUUUGUACAAUUAUUACUAUACCCGACAAAAUCUUCCCAAAUUUUAAGCCUUUCUUACCAUUGAAGAAGUUAUGGCUUAGCUGUUAACUCUAUUAAAAAAAAUAUGAAAUUUCAAUUUUUACCUCAAACUUUUUGGAUCAAAAAGUACAGGACAUCACUACCUAUGAGUUAAAGAAUGGAAUAAAACCAAAAGUGCCAUCUAUAUAACCAACAAAUUACCUGAUAAAACUUUUUCACUGUUUCACUGUUUUAUAUAACACAAAAAUAAAAUGGUUCCAAGAUA